AGAUACCAACCUUUGCCUUUUCUAUGACAUUUGCAAACUCUCCUACCCACAGGAAGCAGUGAUGGGGAGAGAGCAGGAGGAAGCAGUCCCCGCUGUUGAGCGACGAAGCUCGAGGUUCAACCAGUCGUGUCUGCACGUGUCUUCUUCCUGUAAGGCGGGAGGCAAAGAGUCACCAUCUUCCCAGACAGGAGACCUCUCCAAGCCACAGGAAGGACCAGGAAGCACCUCUGCUACAGACUUUUGCAAUUCUAAAGACUCUUGUCUACCAAUACCAGUUCCGUGAUGCGGGGUGGUGGAAGGGGGGUUCGAAUGUUGGCCUUAGAGGUUACUCUCCCUUGCCAGUGUUAGGACACCCGCUGGCGUCCUUUUACAGCACGUGUGUGGAUUAAUCAAGUUCCCUCCUCCAGGAAAGUUAGCAAACAUGUUCCUUUUCCCUCUGUAACUCCUCUCCCCGUCUCCUUCUCUCGGCGUGGCCCACCUCCUACAUUUCAUACCCUCUGCCAGCCAUGCUGCAGGUGAGGACACGCCUUCACACAGCAUCUUCCUCCUGGGGGCUUUC
rnacentral:lncRNA from 1 species